CCAUCCAUGUCACCUCACCCUUCUCCUGGGGGCCAGAUGCAUCCUGGAAUCAGUAACUUUCAGCAGAGUAACUCAAGUGGCACGUAUGGUCCACAGAUGAGCCAGUAUGGACCCCAAGGCAACUACUCCAGAACCCCAACAUAUAGCGGGGUGCCCAGUGCAAGCUACAGCGGCCCAGGGCCUGGUAUGGGCAUCAAUGCCAACAACCAGAUGCAUGGACAAGGGCCAACCCAGCCAUGUGGUGCUAUGCCCCUGGGACGAAUGCCAUCAGCUGGGAUGCAGAGCAGACCUUUUCCUGGAAACAUGAGCAGCGUCCCCCCCAGCUCUCCUGGCAUGUCUCAACAGGGAGGGCCAGGAAUGGGCCCACCAAUGCCCACUGUGAACCGCAAGGCCCAGGAAGCUGCCGCGGCUGUGAUGCAGGCUGCUGCAAACUCAGCCCAAAGCAGGCAAGGCAGCUUUCCUGGCAUGAACCAGAGUGGACUCGUGGCCUCCAGCUCUCCCUACAGCCAGCCCAUGAACAAUAACUCCA
rnacentral:lncRNA from 1 species